GGGCGGUUAGCUCAGCGGGAGAGCGCUUGCUUCACACGCAAGAGGUCGCAGGUUCAAAUCCUGCACCGCCCACCA
rnacentral:tRNA from 1 species